GAGUUUGAUCAUGGCUCAGAUUGAACGCUGGCGGCAGGCCUAACACAUGCAAGUCGAACGGUAACAGGAAGCAGCUUGCUGCUUCGCUGACGAGUGGCGGACGGGUGAGUAAUGUCUGGGAAACUGCCUGAUGGAGGGGGAUAACUACUGGAAACGGUAGCUAAUACCGCAUAAUGUCGCAAGACCAAAGAGGGGGACCUUCGGGCCUCUUGCCAUCGGAUGUGCCCAGAUGGGAUUAGCUUGUUGGUGGGGUAACGGCUCACCAAGGCGACGAUCCCUAGCUGGUCUGAGAGGAUGACCAGCCACACUGGAACUGAGACACGGUCCAGACUCCUACGGGAGGCAGCAGUGGGGAAUAUUGCACAAUGGGCGCAAGCCUGAUGCAGCCAUGCCGCGUGUAUGAAGAAGGCCUUCGGGUUGUAAAGUACUUUCAGCGGGGAGGAAGGGAGUAAAGUUAAUACCUUUGCUCAUUGACGUUAUCCGCAGAAGAAGCACCGGCUAACUCCGUGCCAGCAGCCGCGGUAAUACGGAGGGUGCAAGCGUUAAUCGGAAUUACUGGGCGUAAAGCGCACGCAGGCGGUUUGUUAAGUCAGAUGUGAAAUCCCCGGGCUCAACCUGGGAACUGCAUCUGAUACUGGCAAGCUUGAGUCUCGUAGAGGGGGGUAGAAUUCCAGGUGUAGCGGUGAAAUGCGUAGAGAUCUGGAGGAAUACCAGUGGCGAAGGCGGCCCCCUGGACGAAAACUGACGCUCAGGUGCGAAAGCGUGGGGAGCAAACAGGAUUAGAUACCCUGGUAGUCCACGCCGUAAACGAUGUCGACUUGGAGGUUGUGCCCUUGAGGCGUGGCUUCCGGAGCUAACGCGUUAAGUCGACCGCCUGGGGAGUACGGCCGCAAGGUUAAAACUCAAAUGAAUUGACGGGGGCCCGCACAAGCGGUGGAGCAUGUGGUUUAAUUCGAUGCAACGCGAAGAACCUUACCUGGUCUUGACAUCCACGGAAGUUUUCAGAGAUGAGAAUGUGCCUUCGGGAACCGUGAGACAGGUGCUGCAUGGCUGUCGUCAGCUCGUGUUGUGAAAUGUUGGGUUAAGUCCCGCAACGAGCGCAACCCUUAUCCUUUGUUGCCAGCGGUCCGGCCGGGAACUCAAAGGAGACUGCCAGUGAUAAACUGGAGGAAGGUGGGGAUGACGUCAAGUCAUCAUGGCCCUUACGACCAGGGCUACACACGUGCUACAAUGGCGCAUACAAAGAGAAGCGACCUCGCGAGAGCAAGCGGACCUCAUAAAGUGCGUCGUAGUCCGGAUUGGAGUCUGCAACUCGACUCCAUGAAGUCGGAAUCGCUAGUAAUCGUGGAUCAGAAUGCCACGGUGAAUACGUUCCCGGGCCUUGUACACACCGCCCGUCACACCAUGGGAGUGGGUUGCAAAAGAAGUAGGUAGCUUAACCUUUGGGAGGGCGCUUACCACUUUGUGAUUCAUGACUGGGGUGAAGUCGUAACAAGGUAACCGUAGGGGAACCUGCGGUUGGAUCACC
rnacentral:rRNA from 1 species